rnacentral:rRNA from 1 species
UACGUAGGGGGCAAGCGUUGUCCGGAUUUAUUGGGCGUAAAGCGCGUGCAGGUGGUUGGUUAAGGCCGAUGUGAAAUCUCCCGGCUCACCUGGGAGGGUGCGUUGGCGACUGGCCGACUGGAGGCAGGUAGAGGCCGGUGGAAUUCCCGGUGUAGUGGUGAAAUGCGUAGAUAUCGGGAGGAACACCAGUGGCGAAAGCGGCCGGCUGGGCCUGUCCUGACGCUGAGACGCGAAAGCGUGGGGAGCGAACCGG